rnacentral:misc_RNA from 1 species
UUUCCGUAGGUGAACCUGCGGAAGGAUCAUUACUGAGUGAGGGCCCCUCGGGGUCCAACCUCCCACCCGUGUUUAACGAACCUUGUUGCUUCGGCGGGCCCGCCUCACGGCCGCCGGGGGGCAUCUGCCCCCGGGCCCGCGCCCGCCGACGCCACCUGUGAACGCUGUCUGAAGUAUGCAGUCUGAGACAAUUAUUAAAUUAAUUAAAACUUUCAACAACGGAUCUCUUGGUUCCG